UGACUGAGAAGGGCCAGAGUGCCAGCUGCAGCCAGUCCUGAGCUGGAGAAGUGGGCAGAGGCCAGGUAACAGCAGGCUGUCCCUGCCACAUAAGCGCUGAAUGGAAAGUCAUUAAAUUCUUUUCAGGAAGUUCUUAUGGGCUCAUAUUCGUGUUUUAUGAAGACUUCUCAGACAGCAGGGCUGAAGAUGGAUUGGAUGGAAAUGACACCAGAGACAGAGAGAAUAAUUAAAAGCCGGAGACAAUUAUCCAGGAAUAGAAGUGAUCGAUCAACAGACUUUCUGGCUCUUUUUAUGGAAGUUCCUUCCUCACAAGAUGCCUCUCCAUCUGAGAGGCACUGGAACCAGUCUGGCUGAAGGGCCUGCUGAAUUGUCAUGAACUUGGAAGCAGUCAUUUCGACUCGUCCCCCAACACCCCACACCGACACAGACUGUCAGGGAACAAAAUAAUGAGGAAUGAGCAAGAGCAAAAUGCAAAUAAAAAGAAUAAUAAUAAAAUGGUAAAGCAAUAGUAAA